GGCCUAACCCAACAAUUUCGAUUGUUGGCAUGGUCAAAAACCAGUAACGGAUAAAGAACCCAUCGUCUAGGUUCACCUUUACCGGUCAUGCUCCGAAAGGAGUAUGGGUAGCCCUAAAAAGCUAUC
rnacentral:sRNA from 1 species